rnacentral:rRNA from 1 species
CCUACGGGAGGCAGCAGUGGGGAAUAUUGCACAAUGGGCGAAAGCCUGAUGCAGCAACGCCGCGUGAGGGACGACGGCCUUCGGGUUGUAAACCUCUUUUAGUAGGGAAGAAGCGAAAGUGACGGUACCUGCAGAAAAAAGCACCGGCUAACUACGUGCCAGCAGCCGCGGUAAUACGUGGGGUGCAAGCGUUAUCCGGAAUUAUUGGGCGUAAAGAGCUCGUAGGCGGUUUGUCGCGUCUGCUGUGAAAACUGGGGGCUCAACCCCCAGCCUGCAGUGGGUACGGGCAGACUAGAGUGCGGUAGGGGAGAUUGGAAUUCCUGGUGUAGCGGUGGAAUGCGCAGAUAUCAGGAGGAACACCGAUGGCGAAGGCAGAUCUCUGGGCCGUAACUGACGCUGAGGAGCGAAAGCAUGGGGAGCGAACAGGAUUAGAUACCCUGGUAGUCCAUGCCGUAAACGUUGGGAACUAGAUGUAGGGACCAUUCCACGGUUUCUGUGUCGCAGCUACGACAUUAACGUUCCCGUCCCGUCGGGAGGUACGGCCGCGAGACGUAAACUUAAAGUAAGUAAGUAGUACGUUCGUUGUAGAGUUGCGACGGACGACGACGAGGGAGGAGG